rnacentral:rRNA from 1 species
AACGCUCGCUGUGUGCCUAAUACAUGCAUGUUGAACGGGAUGUAGCAAUACAUUCAGUAGCGAAUGGGUGAGUAACACGUACCUAACCUACCUUUAAGACUGGGAUAACUAUUGGAAACAAUAGCUAAUACCGGAUAUAGUUAUUUAUCGCAUGAUGAGUAAUAGAAAGGAGCUUCACAGCUUCACUUAAAAAUGGGGGUGCGGAACAUUAGUUAGUUGGUAGGGUAAUGGCCUACCAAGACGAUGAUGUUUAGCCGGGCCGAGAGGCUGUACGGCCACACUGGGACUGAGAUACGGCCCAGACUCCUACGGGAGGCAGCAGUAAGGAAUUUUCCACAAUGAGCGAAAGCUUGAUGGAGCGACACAGCGUGCAGGAUGAAGUUCUUCGGAAUGUAAACUGCUGUUAUAAGGGAAGAAAAAAUAGAAUAGGAAAUGAUUUUAUCUUGACGGUACCUUAUUAGAAAGCGACGGCAAACUAUGUGCCAGCAGCCGCGGUAAUACAUAGGUCGCAAGCGUUAUCCGGAAUUAUUGGGCGUAAAGCGUCCGUAGGUUUUUUGCUAAGUCUGGAGUUAAAUGCUGAAGCUCAACUUCAGUCCGCUUUGGAUACUGGCAAAAUAGAAUUAUAAAGAGGUUAGCGGAAUUCCUAGUGAAGCGGUGGAAUGCGUAGAUAUUAGGAAGAACACCAAUAGGCGAAGGCAGCUAACUGGUUAUAUAUUGACACUAAGGGACGAAAGCGUGGGGAGCAAACAGGAUUAGAUACCCUGGUAGUCCACGCCGUAAACGAUGAUCAUUAGUUGGUGGAAUAAUUUCACUAACGCAGCUAACGCGUUAAAUGAUCCGCCUGAGUAGUAUGCUCGCAAGAGUGAAACUUAAAGGAAUUGACGGGAACCCGCACAAGCGGUGGAGCAUGUGGUUUAAUUUGAUUCUACGCGUAGAACCUUACCCACUCUUGACAUCUUCUGCAAAGCUAUAGAGAUAUAGUGGAGGUUAACAGAAUGACAGAUGGUGCAUGGUUGUCGUCAGCUCGUGUCGUGAGAUGUUAGGUUAAGUCCUGCAACGAGCGCAACCCUUUUCUUUAGUUACUAAUAUUAAGUUAAGGACUCUAGAGAUACUGCCUGGGUAACCAGGAGGAAGGUGGGGACGACGUCAAAUCAUCAUGCCUCUUACGAGUGGGGCAACACACGUGCUACAAUGGUCGGUACAAAGAGAAGCAAUAUGGUGACAUGGAGCAAAUCUCAAAAAACCGAUCUCAGUUCGGAUUGAAGUCUGCAACUCGACUUCAUGAAGUCGGAAUCGCUAGUAAUCGUAGAUCAGCUACGCUACGGUGAAUACGUUCUCGGGUUUUGUACACACCGCCCGUCGCACCAUGGGAGUUGGUAAUGCCCAAAGUCGGUGAGUUAACUUCGGAGACCAUUGCCUAAGGCAGGACUGAUGACUGGGGUGAAGUCGUAACAAGGUAUCCCUACGAGAACGUGGGGAUGGAACACCUCCUUUCU